rnacentral:rRNA from 1 species
UAGGGAAUCUUCCACAAUGGGCGCAGCCUGAUGGAGCAACGCCGCGUGAGUGAAGAAGGUCUUCGGAUCGUAAAACUCUGUUGUUAGAGAAGAACACGAGUGAGAGUAACUGUUCAUUCGAUGACGGUAUCUAACCAGCAAGUCACGGCUAACUACGUGCCAG